UUGACAUGCAGAGAACUUUCCAGAGAUGGAUUGGUGCCUUCGGGAACUCUGACACAGGUGCUGCAUGGCUGUCGUCAGCUCGUGUCGUGAGAUGUUGGGUUAAGUCCCGUAACGAGCGCAACCCUUGUCCUAGUUACCAGCACGUUAUGGUGGGCACUCUAAGGAGACUGCCGGUGACAAACCGGAGGAAGGUGGGGAUGACGUCAAGUCAUCACGGCCCUUACGGCCUGGGCUACACACGUGCUACAAUGGUCGGUACAAAGGGUUGCCAAGCCGCGAGGUGGAGCUAAUCCCAUAAAACCGAUCGUAGUCCGGAUCGCAGUCUGCAACUCGACUGCGUGAAGUCGGAAUCGCUAGUAAUCGUGAAUCAGAAUGUCACGGUGAAUACGUUCCCGGGCCUU
rnacentral:rRNA from 1 species